UACGUAGGGGGCGAGCGUUGUCCGGAUUUACUGGGCGUAAAACGCUUGUAGGCGGCCACGCCAAGUCGGACGUGAAAUCUCCCGGCUUAACUGGGAGGGGUCGUUCGAUACUGGCGGGCUCGAGGCAGGUAGGGGGAAGCGGAAUUCCCGGUGUAGUGGUGGAAUGCGCAGAUAUCAGGAGGAACACCGGUGGCGAAGGCGGGUCUCUGGGCAGUAACUGACGCUGAGGAGCGAAAGCGUGGGGAGCGAACAGG
rnacentral:rRNA from 1 species